ACGAACGCUGGCGGCUGCUUAACACAUGCAAGUCGAACGGAGUGGCGAACGGGUGAGUCACGCGUGAGCAACCUGCCUAUGACAGUGGGCUAGCCUCGGGAAACCGGGAUUAAUACCUCAUAGUCAUAGAUAGGCUCUCGUCUGAUUAGCUAGUUGGUGAGAUAACAGCCCACCAAGGCGACGAUCAGUAGCCGGUCUGAGAGGAUGAACGGACACAGUGGAACUGGGAAACGGUCCAAACUCCUACGGGAGGCAGCAGUGGGGAAUAUUGCACAAUGGGGGAAACCCGGAUGCAGCGAGGCCGCGUGAACGAAGAAGGUAUUCGUAUCGUAAAGUUCUGUCCUAUGGGAAGCAGUACCAUAGAAGAAAGCUCCGGCUAAAUACGUGCCAGCAGCCGCGGUAAUAC
rnacentral:rRNA from 1 species